rnacentral:lncRNA from 1 species
GAAAGUUGUAGACUCUUUGUGUUUGUCCUAUUAGGAGAGCUGGUAAUACAGGAACCCAUCCAGCAAAUGGAGCUGGGGAGUGAAACAGUCUAAAGGGGAGGGAGCCACAAGAGAAGGACUUAAAGCAUGGAAUAGAUAGCCUCCCUCAACAUCGCCACUGAAGUGGAGUCAGGUGGAGGGAAUGGAGCAGAUGUAGAGGUAUUGCUGGACCAGGAAACACAGAGCAGGAAGGUAGCACAAAGGAGGUCAAAGUGCAUCUGCGAGAUACAGUGUCAGCAUUUGUGCCCGGGAAUCUGCAAAAAUGAAGAUCAGACCAGCAGUGGUUCAGCCAAGAAGGAGCUUCCUGAAGUCCAGAUGUAUUCUGCUCCCCAUCCACCCGCCCAAAGCACUAUUUGUUCAAACAGGAUUGAUAAUACUUACUGUUGCAGUUCAAACUGCAACGUAAAGACAAACUCUUGCUCUCACCUCAUUUACUGGUUUGCUAAAUGAGAUUGAGAAGGGAUUUCUUAUUUGUUUCUGAGUCAAGAGAAGGUAUUUUUAAACCCAAAGCUGUUUUGAUUUGGUUUGCAGAACAAAAGCAUGAUGAUGGGUUGCAAGCACAUGCACC